UUAAAACUCAAAUGAAUUGACGGGGGCCCGCACAAGCGGUGGAGCAUGUGGUUUAAUUCGAUGCAACGCGAAGAACCUUACCUGGUCUUGACAUCCACGGAAGUUUUCAGAGAUGAGAAUGUGCCUUCGGGAACCGUGAGACAGGUGCUGCAUGGCUGUCGUCAGCUCGUGUUGUGAAAUGUUGGGUUAAGUCCCGCAACGAGCGCAACCCUUAUCCUUUGUUGCCAGCGGUCCGGCCGGGAACUCAAAGGAGACUGCCAGUGAUAAACUGGAGGAAGGUGGGGAUGACGUCAAGUCAUCAUGGCCCUUACGACCAGGGCUACACACGUGCUACAAUGGCGCAUACAAAGAGAAGCGACCUCGCGAGAGCAAGCGGACCUCAUAAAGUGCGUCGUAGUCCGGAUUGGAGUCUGCAACUCGACUCCAUGAAGUCGGAAUCGCUAGUAAUCGUGGAUCAGAAUGCCACGGUGAAUACGUUCCCGGGCCUUGUACACACCGCCCGUCACACCAUGGGAGUGGGUUGCAAAAGAAGUAGGUAGC
rnacentral:rRNA from 1 species